AAAAACAUAAUUGAGUAAAGAGCAACGCAGAACGUGCGGCUAAGGUAGCAAUGCAACGAAUACAACUAUGGUUCUGUUUAUGUUUUCAAAACAGGAGCCAAGCAUCUGGCCUCAUAGGGAGGAGAGAGGACCGGACAAAGCAGGAGCAGCUGAGCGUUAAAGACAUCUCAAGAAUUCUUCCUUGGCCGUUGACUUCGGACUUCGCCAAUAUUCCAAAACUACAUCAUUUCUGCUAUUCUUUCUCCACCCACCACAAGGACGUGCUCUGGGUCCUGCUAGCCCCAGACAGGCACAGAUGGAGGCCUCCCUGAACCCAGCCUGCAGCCCGGAAAUAGUCCUAGGAGACCCAGAGAACUGUGAGGGAGAAAAAUCAAUGUUGGCAGGCUUUGCCUAACUUUAUCUUUAAAGGAUCGGCUACUAAUUAUUUUAGGCUGUGAAGGCCAGAUGGUCUCUGUUGCAACUCCGUAACUCCGACGGUGUAGGGCAAAGCAGCCACAGACAAUUCGUACACAAAUGAGGGUGGCUGUGUCUAAUAAAAUUUUAUUUGUAGACAUCAGCAUUUGAAGGAUACAUGAAUCUCUCAUGUCCCAAAAUCAUCCUCUUUGAGUUUUUUUUGACCAUUUCAAAAAAAGUAAAAACCAUUCUUAGCUUGUGGGCUUAGAGGAAUCGGCUGGAUCUGGCUCACAGGCCAUGGUUUGCCGACCCACCCCCUGGGCCCCCAGCAAAUCGUUGAGCUUUGUAAGAUUUCUUUGUUCUACAGAGACGGAUUAAUAACACCGUUCUGAUCAUGCAAUCUUGAACAAAACACCCUCCCUAAAUGUCAAUUUUUUCACCAUAAGAUGGAGGCAAAAGUAGAAUAUUUCUCUCAGAGUAGAUGGAAUAAUGUAUAGGAAUUGCUUCAUUAUAAAUGUUUAAUCUAUUGGGAUUUUAUUCUAUGUUCCAGUGCGGAGGGGCACACAGUGGGGCUCCAGGGGAUGACUGUUGGCAUUGGCAGGGUCUGUGAGGAGAGGCCAUGGAGGGCAGGCUCCUAGCUGGGUUCUUGCCGGGCUCCCAUCUACCCUGUUCUGCUCUCAGGACAGACUGGGGUGUGGAGAAGGCGUCCCCGGGAGAGCCAGGCCCGGGUCUUCUGGAGUAUGGUGUGCAUGCAAAUGUAGGAACUCCCAUCCACUUCCAACCCGGAGCAUUCCCAUUCCCAGGGCAGCACUCUCGCUGGAACAUGGGCAAGUAGGGACUGGGAUGCAGUAGCCCGAAAGAAAGGACAGGGGGUCCCCCAACCUGUGGCUCCUUGUGAAUGACCAUGACGCCGAGGACAGGCAGCGAUCGUGAACCGCCUGGGUGUGCUCCACCAAGGGCUAGGGGCCCAGAGCAUUGGCCGGCCUGGGGUGAUGAAGUUUUGUAAUAUAGGUGAGGUCCUGAGCUGAUAACCAACAAAGAAUUUUUGAGACAUCUUUGGUGCAAAAUGGUGGUUUUAUGAAAGCCCGGGGACCGGCUGCCCCAGGCCUGUGAGGGGUGGCUGAUUAUAUCCCUGGGAGUCAGGAGAUGGUUAGGGAGAGUGAAAGUCUCUAAGGAAUCUUGGAAGCAAGGUUCCCAGGACCUUGAGGGGGUGCUGGCUAAUGUUGGGAAAAGGUCACUCAUUACCGUCUAAUAAAACCUGAGUCAUGAGACCUUCA